rnacentral:rRNA from 2 species
UACGGAGGAUCCGAGCGUUAUCCGGAUUUAUUGGGUUUAAAGGGUGCGCAGGCGGGAGAUUAAGUCGGCGGUGAAAUUUUGCAGCUCAACUGUAAAAGUGCCUUCGAAACUGGUUUUCUUGAGUGUAGAUGAAGUAGGCGGAAUUUGUGGUGUAGCGGUGAAAUGCAUAGAUAUCACGAGGAACUCCGAUUGCGCAGGCAGCUUACUAAGCUACAACUGACGCUCAGGCACGAAGGCGUGGGGAUCAAAC